AAGAUCUGAAGAGCCAGCUAGCUAGUGAAAGAGGGCACGUAGCCUCACUUGAGGCUACGACAGCGGAGUUGAAGAAGAAAGCUGCUCAGAGCCAACGAGAAACCACUGAGCUAAAAAGCGAGCUCGCGAGUGCGGAAGAAGAGGUUCGGACUCUGAAAGAUGACAAUGCCGCACUUGCUGGGAGAGCUGCUGGGUUGGAUUUGGAUGUACAUUACCAAUCCGACCAGCUUCAAGAGCUCAUAUUUUUUGGUCCUUCCGUGUAUCCCGCUCUACCCCCCGACUACAUCACGGACAUAAUGGCGUGGGUUGAUCAACAUCCUGAGGAGCUC
rnacentral:lncRNA from 1 species